rnacentral:snRNA from 1 species
GUAUUCACUUCUGUAGCACUCAUAUUUAAAUUGGAACAAUACAGAAGUUACAUGAACCCUGUGCAAUGAUAACACAAAUUAAAAAGAAAAUAUCUAAAUGUAG